rnacentral:lncRNA from 1 species
ACCGUACAGUCUUCCAUGCUUCCGGCUUUAAUAUUCUGUGCUAGAUUCACAAAACUCUUUUACAGAUGCUAAGCGUUCAAUCCUGAAGGCUCCACUUCAUCAUCAGGAUGAAGACAGAGGGGAGAACAAAGUGCUCAGAACAACCCAUGUAAAGGCAUCCGUGUCCUAAGGCCCAC